AAAAAAUACCCAAUCUGUUAAGACAGACCUUCAUAUUGUUUUCUUUUUUUAUAGAAACUACCACAGUGAUACCUGAAGCAACUUGUGGUAAGAACCAUACCCCUUAUUCUCCUUCAGUCUUGAAAUGUGACCAAAUAGUAAACUCAAAUACAGAAAAUUGAUAAAGCUGAUAAAUCAGCAAAAAAGACCCAACUGAUCAAUUAGCAUAUAAAAUUGGUAAUUAGUUAUUUUAUAAAAUGUCUUCCAGCUCUGGAAGAAGUAAAAUUAAAGUUAUUUAACAAUUCUGGUCUUUUCGCCUCCAUUUACAGUAGCUUUUCUUUUAGCUAUUAUCGAAGAUAUAAAAGACUCUAAGAACAACUCAAACAUGGCUGAAGUUUUCCUGAAAAAUCUCACAAAACACACAGAAUAUAUUAUUCUGGGGCAUGACAGAGGCAGAACUGUGAGUUUCAGCGACCGUUCAGUAGAGCUUCCGAAAUGCCGGAAUUACACUGUCCAAGUUAAAAAUGGCAGGUGUUCAGAUGGUACUUCUUCUUCUUUUCUUGUUCCAGAAGUCCCAAGGGAAUCUCUUAAAGUCGAGGACCCAACCAACACAUCUGCCUUGUUAUGCUGGAGUAGCUCACUUGCCUGUGCUAACGUGACUGUCACCUGCAAUGGGACAUCACAUUCAUUCCAUCCAAUGCAUUCUGAACAUUCAAAGUCUAGAGAUAAAAAUCAAACUUGCAAAGUGCUGAAAAAUUUAUUGCCAAACUGUCUGUAUGACUGCAUUGGAUCCAUACAUUUUUAUGAAAACAAUGUUGCCAACCAAAGCUUCACCAUACAUACAGACUAUGGUGUUCCAGGAGCACCACAAAAGCUUGAAAUAGUACAUACAAAUACCACAGGUGUAGCAGUUAAUUGGACAGCACCUGGGGACACUUCCAAUGGUCCCAUAAAUGGCUACAUUGUGAAUUUCUUGGUAGAAGGUGAAGGUAAGUAAUUAAAUAAUUCAUUGCAUGUACAUAAUUACAGAGCACCAGGCAUAAUGCACUAGUCAAGUCCUAUUGGAAUCUCUUUACACUGCAAUUUAUUCUAGACAAAUGUUAAAAUUUCCUUCAUUUAAGGUUGUUCCCGUUGAAUUUUCAGUUGAAGUUAUUCAGUUUACCAUGUCAGGACAUGGCCCUGUUACUCUUCAGUUGGCACAAAUGCAUGGCAG
rnacentral:lncRNA from 14 species